rnacentral:lncRNA from 1 species
UGAUGGUGUAUCACUUCCCAUGGGAGGGUGUAAAAGACCCCAUUUCUGUGCUGGUUACUCUUGCUCUCUCUUGGAUCAUUUGCUCUGGGGGAAGCCGGCUGCCAUGUCAUGAGCCUGAUGUGGCCGGGAACUGAGGCCCCCUACCAACAGCCCCGAGAGCUAGCGGUUGUGACAACAGGGCCUUCAGCUGCAGUUAAACCCUCAGAUAACUGCAAACCCCUGGGACCCUGAGACCCUGAGCCAGAACCGCCCAGCUUGGCUGCUCCUGGACUCCUGAUGCUCAGAAUCUAGGUCUGUGCUUGAGAAGGCCGUUUCUGAGUAAAUUAUGGAGAAAUCCUGAGGCUCGCUCUCCGUUAUCAGGCGUCCCCGAGCCGCCCAGACCUAUGGAGUGAGGUAACACUCAGGGAAGAAGGGUCGAAAGGAAGCCUGCUUCUCUCAAGAUCUCACGGCCAGCCGCCGUUCAGGACAGCCCCUGUGGGUGCUGCCGAGAGCCCCAGGCCGGGGCAGGUGGAGACUGAGGGUGUCAGAGCCCUAUCCCAGCCCGAAGGCUUUCCCUGCCCAGUUCUGCCUUCUCCCCCUUUCUAACUUGUACAGACAUUACCUCCAGCUUUCCACUUGUAUCUCUAACUCCCCUCGGCAUCUGCUUCCUGGAGGACCAAACACGUCCCUACAUAGUGAGGACCAAGAAACGGUGGACAUAAUUGUAACAGCAAUCAUAACGGUUAUUAUUGUUG